rnacentral:lncRNA from 1 species
ACCGGGACUUGGGGAGCGAGGGAUGCAACAUGGUGCAUCUGGGAGGCCUGCUAACUGGCUAACUUCUCCGGCGUUCCUCCCGGCCGAGGCGUGGGCACAGAAUAGCGCAGUUUGAAGACAUCAUUUUCCAGUUUUGGAGCCGACUAAUGAACUAGUUCUUAAGUGAAAGGCAUUUAACACGACUGUGCAUCUACAGGUACUAGGUUUCCAAGAUGCCUUUCCAGACUAAAACCCACACAUGUGAGCCGCUGGCCGGACAAACAUCUGGCACCUAACGUGGGGCUGAAAAACAGCAGAGGACAUUUGGAAGAAACACUGCUGGUUUGGAGCUCCAUAGAAGAAGAAAAUAAUUAAAGGAAAUUCAUACCAGAGAAGGAAGCUGCAGCUCCUCUCCUCUGGAUCUUUAUGACCACACCAGGAAGCAUUGUGAUCUGCAGUCACUGCCAACCUGCAGGAUAACACAGCUUGUUCCUCUGGGAACUGCCCUGCAGUGUCUGCAUACAGCCACCCUCGACCUGUCUGCCUGGUCUUUGCAACCUCUAGUGGCUGUUGUUCCACAAUGUGUUGUGAAGAGACCUGAAUGGUUUGCACCAAAACACAAACACAAACCAUUGGGAGAGUGAUUGGUGAAGUGAUGGACAUUUACUCGGGCAAAGGUGAGGCUGAGUAAAUAUAAAAUCUGCCUUCAAGUAUUUUUGCAUCAAUGAACAGAAGUAUAUCUUUAAGCCAGUUUUUGUGUGUAUGUGUGGUUAAAAGGUCAAUGAUGAAAAUGGCACAUAAUGCUUUUAUUUACUAUUGAUUUUUGUCUUCAGUUGUUGUUGUUGUUGUUGUUAUUGUUAUGGAGGUGGAGGUGAGGGUGGGGGUGGUA